UUUGAAGUUAAUAAUUUCAUUAUUGCUUGCAAGAACACUGAAAUAAAGGUUAAUCAGCUUUAUAUGGAUAAGAAAAGUUUGGUAUCGGUAAUGACAAAAUAUGCGAUAUUGAAUGGCUUCAACACCUAUUCUAAAUGAUCUGACAAACAAAGCUAUGUAUUACACUACCAUAACAAAGAUUGUAAAUGGAUCCUCAAGGAGUCUUCGAUAAAUCAUUCAGAAAUCUUUAUGAUAAAGAGAUUUGAUUCAGAACAUACAUGCAGUCUGAGUGAUAGAGUACUGAAUAAUUUGGUUGCAACAACAGCUUUGUUAGUGAAUUUACAGCACCAAAAUUAAUUAAUUACAAGAAAAUACACACACCCGUAGACAUAAUUAAAGAGAUGAAGGUUGUUUACGGUGUUGAUAUUAACUACAUAAUUGCUUGGCGGG